rnacentral:ribozyme from 15 species
AUGGAGGGAAGCAAAAAGCUAAGCGUAUUGGACAAAUCAGGAUACAUGGAAAAAUUGAUCACAUCGCUGCCAUUUGCUUUUGUUUUGCCAUUUACUUUGGUCGGCUUUUCCAUCUUACUA